GCGAACGCUGGCGGCAGGCCUAACACAUGCAAGUCGAACGAACCUUUCGGGGUUAGUGGCGGACGGGUGAGUAACACGUGGGAACGUGCCUUUAGGUUCGGAAUAACUCAGGGAAACUUGUGCUAAUACCGAAUGUGCCCUUCGGGGGAAAGAUUUAUCGCCUUUAGAGCGGCCCGCGUCUGAUUAGCUAGUUGGUUGAGGUAAUGGCUCACCAAGGCGACGAUCAGUAGCUGGUCUGAGAGGAUGAUCAGCCACAUUGGGACUGAGACACGGCCCAAACUCCUACGGGAGGCAGCAGUGGGGAAUCUUGCGCAAUGGGUGAAAGCCUGACGCAGCCAUGCCGCGUGAAUGAUGAAGGUCUUAGGAUUGUAAAAUUCUUUCACCGGGGACGAUAAUGACGGUACCCGGAGAAGAAGCCCCGGCUAACUUCGUG
rnacentral:rRNA from 1 species